GCCAGCAUGGCAUAGUGGUUUGAGUAUUGGACUAUGACUCUGGAGACCAGGGUUUGAAUCCCUGCUCAGCCA
rnacentral:tRNA from 1 species